AGCUAGUGUGGUGUAGUGGUUUCAAUGUUGGCCUACGAUGCUGGAGGCCAGGGAUUGAAUCCCAGCUUGGUUA